rnacentral:rRNA from 1 species
UACGAAGGGGGCUAGCGUUGCUCGGAAUUACUGGGCGUAAAGCGCACGUAGGCGGCUCUUUAAGUCGGGGGUGAAAUCCUGGAGCUCAACUCCAGAACUGCCUUCGAUACUGUAGAGCUUGAGUUCGGGAGAGGUGAGUGGAACUGCGAGUGUAGAGGUGAAAUUCGUAGAUAUUCGCAAGAACACCAGUGGCGAAGGCGGCCAACUGGACGAAUACUGACGCUGAGACACGAAAGCGUGGGGAGCAAACAGG